AGUUGGGUAACUGACUAGCGGAAGUGGCGAAAGGGGCAGUAAUAUAUGGGUAGCUACCCUGGGGUUGGGCAUAGCCGUUCUAACGGACGGGUAAUUCCCAGCGAUGUCGAAAGACCAAAGCUCCGGCGCCCUGGGAGGUGCCCAUAUCGUAUUAGGUAGUUGGUGAGGUAACGGCUCACCAAGCCGAAGAUGCGUAGCGGGUGUGAGAGCACGACCCGCGCCACUGGCACUGAGACACUGGCCAGACACCUACGGGUGGCUGCAGUCGAGGAUCUUCGUCAAUGGGCGAAAGCCUGAACGAGCGAUGCCGCGUGUGCGAUGAAGGCCUUCGGGUUGUAAAGCACAAAAGAGAUAAGAAAGGGUAACUUGAUCGAAUCUCAGUAAGCUCGGGCUAAGUUCGUGCCAGCAGCCGCGGUAAGACGAACCGAGCGAACGUUGUUCGGAAUCACUGGGCUUAAAGGGCGCGUAGGCGGGUUUCUAAGUCCGUGGUGAAAUACCUCAGCUCAACUGAGGAACUGCCUCGGAUACUGGAAGCCUCGAGGGUGGUAGGGGUAUGCGGGACUAUCGGUGGAGCGGUGAAAUGCGUUGAUAUCGAUAGGAACUCCGGUGGCGAAGGCGGCAUACUGGACCACAUCUGACGCUGAGGCGCGAAAGCCAGGGGAGCAAACGGGAUUAGAUACCCCGGUAGUCCUGGCCCUAAACGUUGGGUACUAGCUAGUAGGGUUCACAUGACUUUACUGGCGAAGCAAAAGUGCUAAGUACCCCGCCUGGGGAGUAUGGUCGCAAGGCUGAAACUCAAAGGAAUUGACGGGGGCUCACACAAGCGGUGGAGCAUGUGGCUUAAUUCGAGACUACGCGAAGAACCUUAUCCUAGACUUGACAUGUGCGAUAGCGUUGGGCGGUAGCUACCGGAAACGGAUAGUGAUUCCUCGCAGGAGGAGGACCCAAUACAGGUGCUGCAUGGCUGUCGUCAGCUCGUGUCGUGAGAUGUCGGGUUAAGUCCCUUAACGAGCGAAACCCUUACUUCUAGUUACUACAGGUCAUGCUGAGGACUCUAGAGGGACUGCCGGUGUCAAACCGGAGGAAGGUGGGGAUGACGUCAAGUCCUCAUGGCCUUUACGUCUAGGGCUGCACACGUGCUACAAUGGUGUAAACAAAGGGACGCCAAGGCGCAAGCCGGAGCAAAUCCCAAAAAUGCACCCCAGUUCAGAUCGAGGGCUGCAACUCGCCCUCGUGAAGUUGGAAUCGCUAGUAAUCGCGGGUCAGCAACACCGCGGUGAAUGUGUUCCUGAGCC
rnacentral:rRNA from 1 species